AUGAACGCUGGCGGCGUGCCUAAUACAUGCAAGUCGAGCGAACGGACGAGAAGCUUGCUUCUCUGAUGUUAGCGGCGGACGGGUGAGUAACACGUGGAUAACCUACCUAUAAGACUGGGAUAACUUCGGGAAACCGUAGCUAAUACCGGAUAAUAUUUUGAACCGCAUGGUUCAAAAGUGAAAGACGGUCUUGCUGUCACUUAUAGAUGGAUCCGCGCUGCAUUAGCUAGUUGGUAAGGUAACGGCUUACCAAGGCAACGAUGCAUAGCCGACCUGAGAGGGUGAUCGGCCACACUAGAACUGAGACACGGUCCAGACUCCUACGGGAGGCAGCAGUAGGGAAUCUUCCGCAAUGGGCGAAAGCCUGACGGAGCAACGCCGCGUGAGUGAUGAAGGUCUUCGGAUCGUAAAACUCUGUUAUUAGGGAAGAACAUAUGUGUAAGUAACUGUGCACAUCUUGACGGUACCUAAUCAGAAAGCCACGGCUAACUACGUG
rnacentral:rRNA from 1 species